GACGGAGGGUGCUAGCGUUGUUCGGAAUCACUGGGCGUAAGGGCGCGUAGGCGGCCUUGCAAGUCGGUUGGUGAAAGCCCGGGGCUCAACCCCGGAGGUGCGGCCGAGACUGCAGGGCUGGAGGCCGGAAGAGGAGGGUGGAAUACCCAGUGUAGAGGUGAAAUUCGUAGAUAUUGGGUGGAACACCGGUGGCGAAAGCGGCUCUCUGGUCCGGACCUGACGCUGAGGCGCGAAAGCGUGGGGAGGCAAACAGG
rnacentral:rRNA from 1 species